rnacentral:rRNA from 1 species
UACGAAGGGGGCUAGCGUUGCUCGGAAUCACUGGGCGUAAAGCGCACGUAGGCGGAUUCUUAAGUCGGUGGUGAAAUCCUGGAGCUCAACUCCAGAACUGCCUUCGAUACUGAGAGUCUUGAGUUCGGGAGAGGUGAGUGGAACUGCGAGUGUAGAGGUGAAAUUCGUAGAUAUUCGCAAGAACACCAGUGGCGAAGGCGGCUCACUGGCCCGAUACUGACGCUGAGGUGCGAAAGCGUGGGGAGCAAACAGG